CCCAGACUCCUACGGGAGGCAGCAGUGGGGAAUAUUGGACAAUGGGGGGAACCCUGAUCCAGCGACGCCGCGUGAGUGAGGAAGUAUUUCGGUAUGUAAAGCUCUCUCAGCAGGGAAGAAAGAAAUGACGGUACCUGACUAAGAAGCCCCGGCUAACUACGUGCCAGCAGCCGCGGUAAUACGUAGGGGGCAAGCGUUAUCCGGAUUUACUGGGUGUAAAGGGGGCGCAGACGGCGAUGCAAGCCAGGAGUGAAAGCCCGGGGCCCAACCCCGGGACUGCUCUUGGAACUGCGUGGCUGGAGUGCAGGAGGGGCAGGCGGAAUUCCUGGUGUAGCGGUGAAAUGCGUAGAUAUCAGGAGGAACACCGGUGGCGAAGGCGGCCUGCUGGACCGUGACUGACGUUGAGGCUCGAGAGCGUGGGGAGCAAACAGGAUUAGAUACCCUAGUAU
rnacentral:rRNA from 1 species